CCGGGGGCGGUCACUUCGGGGGCGGAGCGGGGCCGGGGGGCCGGGCCCCGGCGGUGAAGACCGGUGCUGUCACAUCGAUGAAAUCGCACGAUGUGUGAACCCGUGCUGGUUUUUCUUUCUAAUUUUUUCUAAUAAUUCUUUCUAAUAUUUAUUUAUUUACCUCUUUAAUGCAGUUCAUGUGUGUUACCAAGUGCUCCCGUGUCACCGCCCAGUUUAUAUCAUAAUAUUCGCGUUUUAUCAGGUUGUCCCUUGCUGUUGUACUUGAAGAGGUGACCAUUUGCUAAAAGUAUAUACUGUUUCUUAGAAGUCCCUGUGGAGUUGUGCUGGAUUUUGGAGUUUUGUGUUCCUGAGUUGUUUGGCUACUUCUAUUUAUUCCUCCCACUGUCAAAGAAUGCAACAAAGUUCUGUCUACACAGAAAGGAAAUGCUACAAGUAAUCCAGCCUGUUGACAGGAAGAUAAGUAAGUGGGAAAUAUGUGAUGAGAUGUUAGGCUCAAUAAAACUAUGAA